AUCUCUUUGUAUAGUUCACAAGCAUGGUGAUUGGGUGCUCAAGCCCAUGUGUGAGGUGUGCCUCCCGCACACCUUGUUACAACGUAGACACAGGAUCAUCUGAUG
rfam:Nomascus leucogenys chromosome 1a, whole genome shotgun sequence.